AAUAUGGCGGCUCAACAGGCAGAGCAUCAGAUUGAGAUUCUGAAAGUUGCGAGUUCAAGUCUCGCCCAGAUCA